UCUCCCACUCCCCCUGCUUGUGUUCCUGCUCUCGCUAUGUCUCUGUCAAAUAAAUAAAUAAAAUCUUUAAAAAAAAAAAAAAAAAAAGAGUCUUCUGCUCUACCGACUGUGAGCCAGCCUGGUGCCCCAUUCUUCUCUUUAUUAAACUUUAAUAAGCUUUAAUCUUUACCAAGAAAGUGCCAAGGCCAAAGCACCGAUAAAGUAAAAUAGUCUUUUUUUUUAAGACUCUGAGAACAGGUGCAUGGUAUAAGAACCUGACUGCCAAGCAGUCUAUGUGAUAUUGUAGUUGUCAUUCUAAUUAAUGACCCAAAUUCUCUCAAUAGGCCCAGAUAUCCCAUCUCCCAUUAAGUUUACUUGGAUCGGUUUUCAUUAUUCCUUUUCCAUUUUGGUUUCCUCAGCAUCAAAGGGGAAAUUUGCUAAGUGUGCAAGGUGAAUGUUUGAACCUGAAUAUGAAGAAAGAGUAGACCUGCUUACUAAUAACUUUAGUUUAUGUGGCUUCCAAGAAGAGUAGACUUCAUUAUAUGUUUUAGGACUCCCAUGGUUCUUGGUUCUCUAUUUUACUCUUCCAGAGACCAACAAGAGAUACCUUUUUGAAUUCACCCUAUGUGGACUGGACCAUGCCCAAGGAUUUUCAUGGGCAGCGCAGUGGGUCUUACGGUAACUCUGAGAAGAGGUAGCAGAAAAGAUCUGUUAAGAAAUCUGGGCAUUUUAUAACCAGGUGAGAUCAGAUGACUCUUCUAUUAAAACAAGGAUCUCCAGACUGGGGAUUCAACAAGAGGGAAAGAAUGGCAUCUGUUACAAGAAAGUCAUUUCUGGGGCUCUUUGGAAGAAAAGAGAAAGACAAGACAAAUCCUGAAUUCUUAUUUACCACAACAAUAUUCUAUUAAACUCUGUGUAUUAAAUACACAUCAUAUCAACCAUAUUAGCUAGCAAUUAAAUGAAGUGAGCCAAAAUGAACAAAUAUUCUUGAACAGUAAGUUCAACAUAAAAUAUAACAGAAACAGAAAAACUCUGGAUCUUUUUUUUUUAAAAGCUAUUAGCAGGAUAACAUGUAUAUAAAGAUUCUAUCCUCAACAUGUCUGAAGCCAUGGCCAUCAGUAUUUUUCUCCCAGCUAUUUUUCUUACUUGAGAAAUAAGGUAAAUUACACAGUCGUAUCCAACUUUACUGAAUAUGUUACUGAAAUAAUCAAUUUCAAGUUUUCUGUGAGACAGAACUUCUUUAUGAGAAUGUGAACAUAGCAGAGUGCUAACUUAGAGACUAACACUUUGCUUUCUGAGGAAGUAUCCUGGACAUCAAAAUCAACAAUUGAACAUGACACAUCAACUCUCUCCUCCUUUCACCACAAAAAAUCGGUACAUGUUUAGCUUUGUUUGACUGCUGUUAAGUCCUUAAUAUUUUCUCCUGAGAAAAGGUAGAAGACAAAAGCCCAGAGCCAAGUUCUUUUCCAGGGGGCUGUGGAAGAAAGCUUUUGGCAAAUGAAAAUGGGAGAUGCACUAAUGUUAAUACUGCUUCUUUAAGGAGAGGUAAUUACCCCCAGAAGAUGGAGAGGGGGUUAUUUUCUCAUUCUUCGGAGAAAUAUUUAAAUCCUAGAAUAAUGAAGAUUCACUUUACUUUGACUUUCUUACUAUUUCAUAACCAUAUCCCAUUGAACCAGUUUUUAUCCACGUACUAUUGCAAUAAUUCAUUGGCUUUAUCACAUUACUUUAUUCUCUCACUAUAAAUUUGAAUCACUUUGAAAUAAAGGAAGAAUGAAAUAGAAAAACUGAAAAUAAUAGUUUAAUUCUGGGCUAGCCCCUUCCUUCAAGUUACAAGUUCCAUUUCUUUUACAGGGAAAUUGUUUGUAAAAGGAAGAAAUAUAUUUAGGUUAUCUUUCUAUCUAAUCUUAUGUGUUUAGGCAUGGAACGAAAUGAAAAUUAAACUAUUCUUUUGAAACUAAUGAGAAUGAGAUAUUAUUUUAAUGAGGAUAUACUGACAUAUUGGAUUUGUACGCUGGCAUAGAGAAUGGACUUUUUGGAAGGUUAUAUGUAUUUUAGGGUUGUAAUUAUCAUCAUAUCAUCAUCAUCACCCUAUCAAUAAUUCAGAUAAAUAUUUUGCAUUACUUUCUCUCACAUCCAUCCUGUGAGAGAGGAAAUGCAGCUUGCUAUUAUCCCCAAUUCAAGAAAGAAGAAUCUAAGGUUAGGGGGCGCCUGGGUGGCUCAGUCAUUAAGUGUCUGCCUUCGGCUCAGGUCAUGAUCCCAGGGUCCUGGGAUCGAGCCCCGCAUCGGGCUCCCUGCUCGGCAGGAAGCCUGCUUCUCCCUCUCCCACUCCCCCUGCUUGUGUUCCCUCUCUCGCUGUGUCUUUCUCUGUCAAAUAAAUAAAUACAAUCUUUAAAAAAACAAAACAAAACAAAAACGUAAGUAGACUUCUGCUUAUAAACUGGAGCUAGGACAACUAGGAAAGCUGAAUAAAAUACAAACAUCAGGGUGAAGUCACUGGAGAGGCAACCUAAGACCUGAGAACUCAGUUCCUGGGAAGGCCUAGCAAGCAGAGAGUGAGCUGACAUUCUGUCACAGCUUUUUCCUUCAGGCACCUGAAUUCUUCCUGGAGGCAGGGGCAGUUAGAAGCAGCAAAACUAGCAGAGCUUUUGGCAGUCUUGAAGGGGUGCAGUCAAAAAUUGAGGGGCUAAGAAUCUGCGGUAAAGGAAUGGGUGGAGAACCGGACUCAGCUGGUUUCCUUCUCAAGCGUGUUGCCAAAUUCUGAGGGGAACUUCAGGCAACUAAUGAGCAAAAACAUAUACCUCUGCAAAGCAGAGUGGAUUUUUCAGCAGUUUCCUAGUUUUAAGAAAAUGGAGGGAUUUGGGCACCUGGGUGGCUCAGAUGGUUAAGCGUCUGCCGUCGGCUUAGGUCAUGAUCCCAGGGUCCUGGGAUCGAGUCCCGCAUCGGGCUUCCUGCUCCUUGGGAGCCUGCUUCUCCCUCUGCCUCUCUCUCUCUGUCUCUCAUGAAUAAAUAAAUAAAAUCUUAAAAAAAAAAAAAAAAGAAAAUGGAGGGAUUUAAGUUCUGACCUUAAUCAGGGGCCCUGUGAAUACCUCAGACUUUCAGAUACAUAUUUCUGAGAACCGAAUUUACUAUUAUGAAGUAAUUCUCUUUCAUGUUAAUAAUGGAUUUUUUUCCUUAAUGUCUAUUUUGUUUCACAUUAUUGUAGCUAACUCUUUCUCUUAGUUACCAUUAACAUGGUAUUAGCUCUUGCCAUCUUUUGAUAUUCAAACUUUCUGUGUCCUUAUAUUUCAGAGAUGUCUUUUCUGAACAGCCCAUAGUUGGGUUUCAUUAUUUCAUUCAGGACUUUAAUCAGAGAUUUUUGUCAUCUAUACUUAAUAUAAUUACUCAGCUUUAAAUCUGUCAUCUUCCUGAAUAUUCUCCAUACCUUGUUUAUUUUUCAUACUCUUUUCUUUCCAUUUUUGUUUUCUUUUAGAUUUUAUCCUAGUAUGUAUCUCAUUACAGUUUCUUUGGUAGUUAUCCUAGCGAUUACAACAUGCAUAAUACCUAACAUACUCUUAUUCCUUACCAUAUAAGUUUGAUAUAAUACAAGGAUGCUAGGGCAUUUUAAUUCCAACUGUCCCACUGCCAUUGGCAUCAUUUAAAAAAAAUAUAUUUUAAUUUAAAUUUAAUUAACAUAUACUGUAUUAUUAGUUUUGGAGGUAGAAUUUAGUGAUUCACCAGUUGCAUCUAAUACCCAGUGCUCAUUAUUUCAAGUGCCCUCCAUAAUGCCCAUCACUCAGUUACCCCAUCCCCAUCCCCACUUCCCCUCUAGCAACCCUCAGUUUGUUUCCUAUAGUUAAGAGUUUCUCAUGGUUUGCCUCCCUCUUUGUUUUCAUCUUAUUUUUCCUUCCUUUCCCCUAUGUUCAUCUAUUUUGUUUUCUUAAAUUCCACAUAUGAGUGAAGUCAUGUGGUAUUUGUCUUUGACUUAUUUUGCUUAGCAUAAUACCCUCUAGUUCCAUCCAUGUCUUUGCAAAUGACAAGAUUUCAUUCUUUUUGAUGGCUGAGUAGUGUUCCAUUGUGUGUGUGUGUGUGUGUAUAUAUGUGUGUGUAUAUAUAUAUAUAUACACACACACACACACCACAUCUUUAUCCAUUCAUCUGUUGAUGGACAUCUAGGCUCUUUCCAUAUUUUGGCUAUUGUUGAUAGUACUGCUAUAAACAUUGGGGUGCAUAUGCCCCUUCGAAUCACUAUUUUUGUAUCCUUUGGAUAGAUACCUAGGAGUGCAAUGCUGGGUCAUAGGGUAGCUCUAUUUUUAACUUUUUGAGGAGCCUCCAUACUGUUUUCCAGAGUGGCCACACCAGUGUGCAUGCCCACCAACAGUGUAAGAGGGUCCCUCUUUCUCUGCAUCCCCGCCAACAUCUAUGUUUCCUGAGUUGUUCAUUUUAGCCAUUCUGACCAGUGUGAGGUCGUAUCUCAUGGUGGUUUGAUUUGUAUUUCCCUGAUGCCAAGUGAUGAUGAAUAUUUUUUCAUGUGUCUUUUGGCCAUUUGUAUGUCUUCUUUGGAGAAAUGUCUGUUCGUGUCUUCUGCCCAUUUCUUGACCAGAUUUUUUGUUUUUUUGGGUGUUGAGUUUGAUAAGUUCUUUAUAGAUUUUGGAUACUUUAUCUGAUAAGACAUUUGCGAAUAUCUUCUCCCAUUCUGUAGGUUGCCUUUUAGUUUUGUAGACUGUUUCUGUUGGUGUGCAAAAGCUUUUUAUCUUGAUGAAGUUCCAGUAGUUCAUUUUUGCUUUUGUUUCCCUUGCCUUUGGAGACGUGUCUAGCAAGAAGUUGCUGUGGUUGAGGUCAAAGAGGUUGCUGCCUGUGUUCUCUACUCGGAUUUUGAUGGGUUCCUGUCUCACAUUUAGGUCUUUCAUCCAUUUUGGGUUUAUUUUUGUGUACGGUGUAAGAAAGUAGUUGAGUUUCAUUCUUCUGCAUGUGGCUGUUCAAUUUUCCCAACACCAUUUGUUGAAGAGACUGUCUUUUUUCCAUUGGAUAUUCUUUCCUGCUUUGUCAAAGAUUAGUUGAUCAUAGAGUUGAGGGUCCAUUUCUGGGUUCCUAUUUUGUUCCAUUGAUCUAUGUGUCUGUUUUUGUGCCCGCACCACACUGUCUUGAUGAUUACAGCUUUGUAAUACAGGUUGAAGUGUGGAACUGUGAUGCCUCCAGCUUUGUUUUUUUUCAACAUUACUUUGGCUAUUCAGGGACUUUUCUGGUUCCAUACAAAUUUUAGGAUUGUUUAUUCUAGCUCUGUGAAAAAUGCUGAUGGCAUUUUGAUAGGGAUUGAAUUGAAUGUAUAGAUUGAUUUGAGUAGCAUAGACAUUUUAACAGUAUUUGUUCUUCCAAUCCAUGAGCAUGGAAUGUUUUUCCAUUUCUUUGUGUCUUCCACAAUUUCUUUCUUAAGUGUUCUAUAGUUUUCAAGUACAGGUCCUUUACCUCUUUGGUUACAUUUAUUCCUAGGUAUCUUAUGGUUUUUGGUCCAAUUGUACAUGGGAUCCAUUCCUUGAUUUCUCUUUCUUUUGCUUCACUGUUAGUGUAUAGAAAUGUAACUGAUUUCUCUGUAUUGAUUUUAUAUACUGUGACUCUGUUGAAUUUCUGUAUCAGUUCUAGCAGUUUUUUGGUGGAGUCUUUCAUGUUUUAAAAUUCUUUCUUUAGGGGCAACUGGGUAGCUCAGUUGGUUAAGUGUCCGACUUUUGAUUUUGGCUCAGGUCAUGAUCUCAGGGUUGUGAGAUACAGGCCCAUGUUGGGCUCCAUGCGGGAUUGGAGCCUGCUUAAGAUUAUCUCUCUCUUCCUCUGUCCCCAUCCCCCAACGCCCACUCACCCACACAUUCUCUCUCUCUCAAAAUAAAUAAAUAAAUAAAUAAAAAUAAAAAAAUUCUUUAUUUAAAACUCUCAGGACUUUUAAAAAAUUUUUCCAACAGAAAUGUUCAUUUAAUUUAUUCAUGUAGCUUAUCCCUUUGUUGCUGUAUAUUCUUUCUCGCAUUUUCAGUCUUCCAACAGGGAUCAUUCUUUCUUUUGCCUGAAGAACAGUACACUAGUAUUUUCUUUAGUGUAGGUCUUCUAGAGAUAAAUUUCCUCCAUUUUUGACUGUCUAAAAAUACUUUUGUUGGGGUACCUGGGUGGCUCGGUCGGUUAAGCAUCUGCUUUCGGCUCAGGUCAUAGUCCCAGGGUCCUCGGAUCGAGUCCCGCAUCGGGCUCCCUGCUCAGUGGGAAGCUUGCUUCUCCCUCUCCUACUUCCCCUGCUUGUGUUCCCUCUCUCGCUGUCUCUCUCUGUCAAAUCAAUCAUUCAAUAAAUAAAAAUCUUUAAAAAAAAUAAAAUACUUUUAUUCUUUAAUGAUAUCUUUACUGGAUGUUGACUACCAUCAAGAUUGAUAGCCAUUGUCUUUCAGCAAUUUAAAGAUACUGUUCUACUGUGUUGGCUUUUUUGUUUUUGGGAGAAGUCAGAUGUCAGUCUAACUCUUACUCCUUUGAAAUCAAUGUUUUUAAUUCUCUGGCUGCUUUUAAUAUUUCUUAAUUAUCUUUGGUUUUUAGCAGUUAACUUUGGAUUUGUUUUUAUUUAUUUUGUUUCAGUUAUUUGGACUUCUUACGCCUUUGGCUUAUUUCUUUUCAUCAUUUUUGGAAAGUUGUAGCUAUUGCUUCUGGCUUAUUCUCUCAUCUCCUGGGGUUUCCAAUUAUAGAAAUCUUAUUCCUUCUCAGUGUAUCUCCUAUGUUGCUUAGUCCCUCUUCUUUAUCUUCCUUUUUUCUGUAUCUUGCUUUUUUCUUUUUUUUUUCUUCAUGCUUCAUUCUGGAUAUUUUCUUUGGCCUGUCUUCCAGUGCACUAAUUAACUUUUUUUUUUUUUGUAGUUUUUAAUUUUAUUAUGUUAUGUUAGUCACCAUACAAUACAUCAUUAGUUUUUGAUGUAGUGAUCCACGAUCCAUUGUUUUCGUAUAACACCCAGCGCUCCAUGCAGUAUGUGCCCUCCUUAAUACCCAUCACCGGGCUAACCAAUCCCCCCUCCCCCCUAAAACCCUGUUUGUUUCUCAGGUCCAUAGUCUCUCAUGGUUCAUCUCUCCCUCCAAUUCCCCCCAGCCAUUUUUCCCUUCCUUCUCCUAAUGUCCUCCAUGCUAUUCCUUAUGUUCCAUAAAUAAGUGAAACCAUAUGAUAAUUGACUUUCUCUGAUUGACUUAUUUCAUUUAGCAUAAUCUCCUCCAGUCCCAUCCAUGUUGAUGUAAAAGUUGGGUAUUCAUCUUUUCUGAUGGCUGAGUAAUAUUCCAUUGUAUAUAUGGACCACAUCUUUAUCCAUUCAUCUGUUGAAGGGCAUCUCGGCUCUUUCCACAGUUUGGCUAUUGCGGACAUUGCUGCUAUGAACGCUAAUUAACUUUUUAGCUGUGUCUAAUCUGCUUUAAACAUCCAUUAAUUUUUAAUUUUGAUUUUCUAAUAUUUCCAACAUCUAUUCUCUUUAUUGUUUUUAUGUCUCUACUAAAUUUCUCAGUCCUUUCUUUUCUGUACUUGGCCAUAGUAAAUUUCGUUCUUUCUUUUUUUUUUAAUUUUGUUAUUUCUGUUAGUGUAUAGUCUCAUACCCAUGUGGGCCUAGCUAUUUUUCAUUAUGUGCUGAACCUUAUAUUGUUUUUAGAAAUAAUAUGAGUCCUAGACUGAUGUUACCUUCCUCUAGAGAAUAUUCUCAAUCCAGUUUUAGGGAUUCAGCUGAUCUAACACUGAGCUUUAGUUAUCUUUAAGGUAAAUUCAGGGUCUCAACACAGAUUAAGAGAGUCCAUCAGGUCCACCCCUCCUCUGGCAGACCUUACCUUCCACUUCCUAUGCCUGUAGGCUCAGGAAGCUAAUGAAAGGUCCAUUUACUUCCCCUGGUGCCCUCUUUAGAAUUAGCAAACACCAAACACUAAGGGAAAAGCAGCUCCAAAAGUCAGGUACACCUUACGUGGCUUCUUCAGGACCCUGUCCUGGUAAUUUUUCCUUUUAUCCUAUGACUCCAAGCAGACUUAAAAAAAAAAAAAAAAUCCAGUUUUUGUAGUUGGCUCCAGGAGACAGGCAGG